rnacentral:tRNA from 1 species
GCUUUAGCGGCGGCGGAUAGCGCAUCUGCUUUGGGAGCAGAGGGUCGCUGGUUCGAAUCCAGUCGCA